GUGUCCUCAGGAAGCAGAUGGAGUAUAAAAUGCCAAGGAAGGCUACUUCACACCCCCUCAAGACCUGUGCCCACUUCCUUACUGGAAGGACAACGUGAGUUUUCAGCCCUUCCCAAGAACCCUUCAACCAGAAACACUUCAAAUGGGAGUACAAAAGAAUCAGAGAAUCCUUGCCACGUACAGAAAUAAGAACAUCUGUUCUCAGCAUGAACCCUAUUAGCUCCAUCAUUUGGCUUUCAAGGAAAAAAAAUGCACAAUUAUGAUACGUGGGCACGAUCGGUGGCAAGGUAGGUAGCAACUGGCACUCAGAGCGGGCCGUGUGCUCAGGGCAAGGGUGGCUGCUGGGGGAGCACCUCACACCAAGGGACACGAACACGGCAGCAGCAACGGCUGGGCUACCUGAAGUCGGCAGCCCCAGCUUCGGAGUCAGAGGCCACUCUGGGGACUGGAAGAAAGGGAGGAGAGGGGAGAAGGAGGUGGGAGGAAAGAGGAGACGAAGCAGGGAAGGAGGAGAGAAAGGAGGAAGAGGGAUGGGGGGGGGGCGGGUGCGAGAGAGUAGCCGCAUAGACCUGAGCCACACAGGAGGGCACAGGGUGAGUCAGGGGCACAGAGGGAGAGACAGGCUCUCCCUGCCUGGCAGGGGACAGGAGUGGCAACGUCCCCACACUAGACCAAGACAGCCCAUGGUCGGCACCGCAGCCACACCACUUCCCAGGGCUGUGGCUUCAGGCACGUCACCUGACCAUUUUGUGCCGUGGUUUUCUCGGUCGGUAAGACGUAGAAGGCAUGGACCUACGGCACAGGGUCAAAGUGAGGGUAAGAGAGUGCCUGUGUGUGAAGGCCUCCGAGCAGCACCGGACGCAGAGCGAGCCCUCAGAGAAGGUCUGCUGCCAUUAGCGUUAGGAUUACUGUCACCAUCACCAGCAUUUCAUAGGACUGCACUUAGGGCACAGUGAGCUCAGUGCUGGCAUUACCCCCGAGUCACGGAGCACGUGCGCUCGGGUGAAGGGCUGGGCCUCAGCGCUGUCUCUAGAAUGUGGGCUCCUCGCCAACUCAGAGGCAGGACUCUGCUACCUCCCUAAGACCCCUCGAGCUCACUGCUGCUCUGGUGAAAACAAGCCAGAAGCGGCGGGGGCUCUAACCAUGUCUUGCUUUCUUAUGCGGAAGGCCAGGAGCGGACUCUUCCUAGGCCCAGUUAUUACAGACGGCACUACGCACACCUAAGGAAGCAGGAUUGCAAUUGGAUAGACAUGGGUCCAAAUCCCAGCUCCACUCUCAAGAGCCGCGAGCUUACAGAGACAAAUGGCCUCGUGGCUGAGCCAGUGCCCUCUGCUAGAAACCAAGCCCAAGAUGCCCCUUGGACUGCAUGAAGGACUAAACGGGAUCGUGUAGAGACUUCACAGAGUCUGGCACUUGGCAAACAGAAGCUCUUUGCAUCACAAAAGACAAUGGGGGCGGGGCGCCUGGGUGGCGCAGUCGGUUAAGCGUCCGAC